CACACACACACACACACUCUUACAAUAUCUCAAAAGACUUGAAGCAAUUUUAAGCUAUUAAAGCUUAAAACUGCUUUAAGACUUUUAGGAUAUCUUCUUUAUCACUAUAUGUAAAUAUG
rnacentral:precursor_RNA from 15 species